AAAUGAAAUGUAUGUAAGUCGCUUUGGAUAAGAGCGUCUGCUAAAUGACUAAAA
rfam:Salmo salar isolate Sally breed double haploid chromosome ssa16, whole genome shotgun sequence.